UGGGAAAAGGACUUUUGGGAAAAGAACUUUUUGAAAAGGACUUUUUAAAAAAAGUGUUUGGAUUAGCUUAUAGGGUGAAAAAAGCCAAAUAUAAGGGGUAAUUCAGAAAAUUCAUUUUUGAAAAGUCAUUUCUGGAUAUAAGGAAACAAAUAUAUGGGGUAAUUUAGUAAUUUCAUUUUUGAAAAGUCAUUUCUAGAUCCAAAAGUCACAAAAUCUUGGCUUUUCAAAACCUCAUGUUUCCUUCUUUGCAAUAAGCUAUUUUGAAAAGGACUUCUUGGUUAUCCAAACAUAAAAACAACUUAUUGACUUAUCCAUAAGUCAAUAAGCUAAUAAGCUGGUUUGAGAAGCCAAUCCAAACAUGCCCUUAAUUACUGUUUGCAGUGGUUUUGUGUGUCUGGAAUUAUAGGUUCGUUGCUUCCGUAUUUGAACUGAUAUCUGCACUCCGAUUGCGAUAUGAAGCUGUAACGAUUUUGUUCCCAAAUUUUACCUAACUAGAUAUACUAGUGUUUUUUUUUAUCUAAUUGGAGACAUGAAAUUGUUGAAUUUCUAUUGUUAUUUUGAUCAGAGUGUUAUGUAUGAAUAGCUUUAUAGAUAUACUAGUGUUUUUUUUUUUUUUUUUUCUAAUUGGAGACAUGAAAUUGUUGAAUUUCUAUUGUUAUUUUGAUCAGAGUGUUAUGUAUGAAUAGUUUUAUCAGGGUAAUAGAGUGGUGUGAAGAGUGAAUGAUUAUUUUUAAUCAGAUAUUCAUGAAAACCAGACUUACAGAAAGAAGAGAUAAGAACACUAUGUAUUCAGUUAUGAGGAAUAACAGCAAGCUAAGUUGUGUUGUUAUAGUGGUUUCUAUAACUGUGGACCGAUUAGAAUCAAGAUGCCUCUAUAUUUAUAGAUAAAACUAAACAAAUUAACAAUAGGAGUCCAUAUUUGACCGAUUAGAAUCAUAAUGUUUGGUGGUGUUAUGUGUUGUGGAGGUGUUAUGGUGGUGGUGGUAGAUUUGGUCGGAGAUGGUGGUAGUUGCCGGUGAUUAGUUGAUGGUGGUGGUGAGUGGGGUUAAAUUAUUUUAUUUAAUAACAAAGGUGGAGCCCACAUGAAUUUUUAUAAUUAACUAAUUUAUUAUUUUAUAAAUGAAUAUGUGAAUUGCCAUAAAUGCCCCUCGCAUCAGGGGCACAUGACAAGUUUUUAACCAACUAAAUGGAUGAGGUUAGUGUUAGGGGUCAAAAGGGGUUAUAAAAAAAGACGUUGGGGGCUCAAAUGUUACAAACAUUUCUUGACGUUGAAGCAACUGUUCCAUAUAUUUUGUCACUUCUCUUAUGCUGCAAUCCAGAUUGCAUUCACAGUUUCACAUUUCUGGUUUAUUCGGCAUUCAUACGUGCUUAUCUGGGUCAACUUGAUUAAGAUAGAGAGAGUUGAAUCUAAGUUUUAUUUUUAAAUGUUCUUGGUUAGCAUGAUCUGUUAGAAUUACAAUCUAAAUUUCAUUUGUUUGGUUGAGAAAUAGAACUGAAACGUAUUCGCUUAAUGAUGAGUUUGGUUUGCGAUUUAAUGCUUUGUCCCGCUGGCGCAAUGCGCGGCGGGCAAAAAUCUAAUUCUUAUUGUAGAUUUAAGUGUUCAUGGCUUAACGUUAAUGAUGUUGAGUCAUAUAUUAGUUUGACCUUUAUUAUUGAGUCUUUUUUAAUAAGAUAUACUUUCUUUCAGGUCAGUGCAAAUCUUUAUGGUAAUAACAAGACAAGACUAUCACUUACUGGAAUAGGUAAGAACUAAAUACGAUGUGCCUAAUGCUGCUAUGAAGUGGGUUUUAAGGAGUACUGGAGAAUUAUAUAAGGUACACAAAUGUCGGUUUAAGAAAAAAUACUUCUAUCAAUUUAAGGACAACAAAACAAGGUGGAAGAACCGACCUAAAGAUAUUCAAGAGGCUGAUUUCUCACAAUUGUUACGUUUAUGGAGUAAUGAUGAUGUGGCGGUAUUGUUUUUGAUAAUUUUUUCGUUAAUAGUAUUUGUUUUGCUAGGAUUUGUGAGGAGAUGGUAAUAUGUUUUUGUUUUGCUUGUGAUUUAACUUUUUAUGUUGUUUAACAUAUUUCUUUAUUGAUGUUUAUGUUAUUAUGAAUACAGAAAAAUGAUGACCCAAACCAAGAGUUACCUACCUUAACCCAAUUGUUUGAACGCAUGCGUAACAGGACAGAAGGACGUGUAUAUGUUGAUACAUAUGAUGACACAACAAGAAAAAUUAACUACAAGCCUACAGAGGAUGACAAUGCUACGGUAGAUCCUUUUUUGGUUGUAAUGAAUAAAGAAAACUAUGGAUACCGCCGACUUUAUGGUAGAGGCGUUACAAAUACAUUAGUGAAAAAGGUAGAUGGUGCUUGCACAUCAUACAUGAUUUCGGAGGGGCUGAUGGAAUCAUUUAAAGCAAACGUUGAAGUUGAGAAAAACCAGUUGCUUGAAAUGCGUAGAGAGAUUGAAGAGGAUCAUGAAAGAAAAAAGGCUAAGCUGGAAGCUAUGCAAAAAAGACAUUGACAACCAACGACAAAACUUGGAAGCUAUGAUGUAGAAAGUUAUGAAACGACUGCCUGUUGGAGAUCGAGAUGAGUAGAAUGUUUCCAUUUCUUUUUAUUAUUGUAUUGAAACUUUGUAUUGACCAUAUUAUUAUUUAAGUUUGAACAAGUAUGUUAAAGUACAUUAUUUCUCUAUCAAUGAUAUUUGUCAUUA